rnacentral:lncRNA from 1 species
CUCAGUUUCCCCACGAGCACAAGGAGGCGUUUACUCCCCUUUGCAGGUUCGGCAGUUCCGUGACCUCGGAGCACCCUCCGCCACAGCUCCACCUAGCCCUGGCCGGAAUACAAACCGAGGCCUGGGAGGGAGUUCUGGGACUUUGACCACCUGCCACCGCUGUCUUCCUCUGUGGGUCUCUGGGAAGCCUCUGAGUCUCACAUUCCACUGCUCAGGCCUGGGAGGUGGCUACUGUCAGGUUAUUUCACUUCUGGGACGUCGGAGAUUUUAACAUCUGAUUUCUUCCCUGUACGGAUGGAAAAACUGAGGCCCAGACUAGGGAAGGAAACUCCCAUCCAAGUUCUCUCAGACCAGGCUGGACUAGAAUGACUACUGAGGUCUCUUCUGAUUCUCAAAUUCUGUGACUGUUCUUCUGUGGAAUUACUGGGUCAAAGGGUAUGGACCCCCCAAAAGGUUAGUCACCUUUCUUGCAUAAUUUCACAUUGAUACCCAGAAGGUCUGCACCAAUUCCCAACUCCACCCACCUAGCUUUAGUGUCUAGAUCAAUGGUGGUGAACCUUUUAGAGAACUUGUGCUUUUGCUCCACCCCACUUACUGUAUGC